AGAGUUUGAUCCUGGCUCAGGAUGAACGCUAGCUACAGGCUUAACACAUGCAAGUCGAGGGGCAGCAUGGUCUUAGCUUGCUAAGGCCGAUGGCGACCGGCGCACGGGUGAGUAACGCGUAUCCAACCUGCCUUACACUCUUGGACAGCCUUCUGAAAGGGAGAUUAAUACAAGAUGUUAUCAUGAGUAAGCAUUUUCGCAUGAUUAAAGGUUUACCGGUGUAAGAUGGGGAUGCGUUCCAUUAGAUAGUAGGCGGGGUAACGGCCCACCUAGUCUUCGAUGGAUAGGGGUUCUGAGAGGAAGGUCCCCCACAUUGGAACUGAGACACGGUCCAAACUCCUACGGGAGGCAGCAGUGAGGAAUAUUGGUCAAUGGACGAGAGUCUGAACCAGCCAAGUAGCGUGAAGGAUGAAGGUUCUAUGGAUUGUAAACUUCUUUUAUACGGGAAUAAACGGAUCCACGUGUGGAUUUUUGCGUGUACCGUAUGAAUAAGGAUCGGCUAACUCCGUGCCAGCAGCCGCGGUAAUACGGAGGAUCCGAGCGUUAUCCGGAUUUAUUGGGUUUAAAGGGAGCGUAGAUGGGUUGUUAAGUCAGUUGUGAAAGUUUGCGGCUCAACCGUAAAAUUGCAAUUGAUACUGGCAGUCUUGAGUACAGUUGAGGUAGGCGGAAUUCGUGGUGUAGCGGUGAAAUGCUUAGAUAUCACGAAGAGCUCCGAUUGCGAAGGCAGCUUACUAACCUGUAACUGACAUUGAUGCUCGAAAGUGUGGGUAUCAAACAGGAUUAGAUACCCUGGUAGUCCACACGGUAAACGAUGAAUACUCGCUGUAGGCGAUAUACAGUCUGCGGCCAAGCGAAAGCAUUAAGUAUUCCACCUGGGGAGUACGCCGGCGACGGUGAAACUCAAAGGAAUUGACGGGGGCCCGCACAAGCGGAGGAACAUGUGGUUUAAUUCGAUGAUACGCGAGGAACCUUACCCGGGCUUAAAUUGCAACCGAAUAUGGCGGAAACGCUAUAGCUAGCAAUAGCGGUUGUGAAGGUGCUGCAUGGUUGUCGUCAGCUCGUGCCGUGAGGUGUCGGCUUAAGUGCCAUAACGAGCGCAACCCUUGCCGAUAGUUACUAACAGGUCAUGCUGAGGACUCUGUCGGGACUGCCAUCGUAAGAUGUGAGGAAGGUGGGGAUGACGUCAAAUCAGCACGGCCCUUACGUCCGGGGCUACACACGUGUUACAAUGGGGGGUACAGAGGGCUGCUACCACGCAAGUGGAUGCCAAUCCCAAAAACCUCUCUCAGUUCGGAUUGAAGUCUGCAACCCGACUUCAUGAAGCUGGAUUCGCUAGUAAUCGCGCAUCAGCCACGGCGCGGUGAAUACGUUCCCGGGCCUUGUACACACCGCCCGUCAAGCCAUGGGAGCCGGGGGUACCUGAAGUGCGUAACCGCAAGGAGCGCCCUAGGGUAAAAUUGGUGACUGGGGCUAAGUCGUAACAAGGUAGCCG
rnacentral:rRNA from 1 species